rnacentral:tRNA from 1 species
UUCACCAUGACAGAUUAGUGUGUUCGGCUUAAAAUCGGAAAAUGGUCAAAAGACCUGGUGAAG